CUUCCGACAAUCCUUGGAGUUGCCCACGUUCUCUAGCUGACCUUGACCUUCUCUCCUUCUGGAGAGUAGGAUUCUUUAGGGUACUGGAGUUUCCUUCAAUCCCGAGGCCCCCAUCAACAGAUAUGAAGGUGUUCUUUUUCUGCGGGAAUCUACUGAUGAAGCCUGCCUUGUUCUUGGAGCCCACCAGCCCAGCCAUGGAAGGAAUCUCAGGGAGGCAAUGGAAAGAGGAGCUGGUCAUUUCCAGGCCAUGCCCACUGGCCCACAUCUGUUAAUCACUGCCAAAGAGGAGUCCUGGGAAUAGGACCUAGUCACUCAGGCCAGAAAACAUUGGCUCUUCCUUGAUCCCUCUCCUCUUCCCCUUCCCCCAACCCAUAGGAAACCCAAAAGGAAGCUUGGUGAGGCACCAUAGUACUUCAACACCAGAUGGCCUUCCCAGAAGGGACUGGGGUCACCACUUCCAUUGUGGGGAUUUGGUAACCAUCAAUCAACAAGCAUUUACUUGACCAUAUAUGAGGCACUGCACUAAUUGUUUGGGAUAGAAAAAACAUCUGUUUGGGGGAGGUUCAGGUGGUGGCCUGUUCCCAGUGCAGAGAAGCACCUUAUCUGCAAGUUAGAGCCAGAAAGUUGUCUGGGACCUUGAGAGGCUGGGACUGCCCUGAGCCACACACAAUGGGUCUAUCAAAAAGCAUUUAUUAAAAGUGUUUGCUGUACAUGUUUAACAUAUAAUUCAUUACUUGCUGUCUAGGAGA